rnacentral:rRNA from 1 species
AUAAGAUAUGUAGAGCAGAAGGUGGAUGCCUUGGCAACGGACGGCGAUGAAGGACGUAGUAAGUUGCGAUAAGCCUCGGGGAGUCGCUUAACAGGCUUUGAUCCGAGGAUUUCCGAAUGGGAAAACCUGACCGAGCAAACCUUGGUCAUGCCAUUGUGAAUAUAUAGCGAUGGCAAGCUAACGGGGGGAAGUGAAACAUCUCAGUACCCCCAGGAAAAGAAAUCAACCGAGAUUCCCUUAGUAGCGGCGAGCGAAAGGGGAAGAGCCCAAACCGAAGAGAUUUUCUCUUCGGGGUUGUGGGACCUCAGUAUGGGACUUUGAGAAGUAGCAGAAUAGUCUGGAAAGUCUUGCCACAGAAGGUGAUAGCCCUGUACGCGAAACUUUGAUGAGCCCUAGAGGGAUCCCGAGUACUCCGGCACACGUGGAAUGUUGGAGGAAUCUGGGUGGACCACCAUCCAAGGCUAAAUACGUGCCGUUGACCGAUAGUGAACCAGUACCGUGAGGGAAAGGUGAAAAGAACCCCAAUGAGGGGAGUGAAAUAGAAUCUGAAACCAUCUGCUUGUAACCAGUGGAAGGGCUAUGUCCAUUUAUGGAAAUGCCUGACCGCGUGCCUUUUGCCUAAUGAGCCUGCGAGUUAUCUUCAGUGGCCUGAUUAAGCCGAAUAGGUGUAGUCGUAGCGAAAGCGAGUCUGAAUAGGGCGCCAGUCACUGGGGAUAGACCCGAAGCGAAUCGAUCUAUCCAUGGCCAGGGUGAAGCAGAGAGAAAACCUUUGUGGAGGCCCGAACCGUUCAGGGGUGAAAACCUGUCGGAUGAGCUGUGGAUCGGAGUGAAAGGCUAAUCAAGAUUCGUGAUAGCUGGUUCUCCCCGAAAUAUAUUUAGGUAUAGCCUUGUGUGAUGACUAACGGAGGUAGAGCACUGAUUGGACUAGGGGGUCGAAAGAUCUACCAAACCCAGCCAAACUCCGAAUGCCGUUGGGUUAGCACAGGAGUCAGUCGGUGGGAGAUAAGUCCCAUCGGCGAAAGGGAAACAGCCCAGACCGCCGGCUAAGGCCCCUAAAUGCGAACUAAGUGGUAAAGGAUGUGAAUUGGCAUAGACAGCCAGUAGGUAGGCCCAGAAGCAGCCAACCUUUAAAGAGUGCGUAACAGCUCACUGGUCGAUGCGAAUUUGCGCCGAAAAUGAAACGGGGCUAAGUUCGUUGCCGAAGCCGCGGGUUGCGUAUUUAUACGCAGCGGUAGGGGAGCGUUCCCAACGGGUCGAAGGGUUACCGUAAGGAAGCCUGGACUGUUGGGAAGUGAGAAUGCAGGCAUGAGUAGCGAUAAAGGUGGUGAGAAUCCACCUCGCCGUAAACCCAAGGUUUCCUGGGCAAGGCUCGUCCUCCCAGGGUAAGUCGGGACCUAAGGCGAGGCCGAAAGGCGUAGUCGAUGGAAAACGGGUUAAUAUUCCCGUACCAUUCGGUUUGAGUGAUGGAGUGACGGAGAAGGAUAGGUCAUCCGGGUGCUGGAUAUCCCGGUUCAAGCUUGUAGGAGGAAAAGACGAGUAAAACCUCUUUUCAAUACUCUGAGAAGCGAGUACGAGAGGCAUUAGCCUCGUAAAGUGAUUGAGUCCAUGCUUCCAAGAAAAGCUUCUAAACUUUGACGACCGAGUGCCCGUACCUAAACGGACACACGUGGGUGAGUUGAAAAUACUAAGGCGCGUGAGAGAACUCUGGCUAAGGAACUCGGCAAAUUAACCCCGUAACUUCGGAAUAAGGGGUACCCAUAUGUACGUGAAAGCCCUCGCGGCUGGAGCGGAAAUGGGUCGCAGUGAAUUGGUGGUAACGACUGUUUACUAAAAACACAGGGCUCUGCAAACACGCAAGUGGACGUAUAGGGCCUGACUCCUGCCCAGUGCCGGACGGUUAAGGGGAUGGGUUAUCUUCGGAGAAGCUCAGAACCGAAGCCCCGGUAAACGGCGGCCGUAACUAUAACGGUCCUAAGGUAGCGAAAUUCCUUGUCGGGUAAGUUCCGACCUGCAUGAAAGGAGUAACGAUUGCCACACUGUCUCGGCCAGAGACUCAGCGAAAUUGUGGUUCCGGUGAAGACGCCGGAUACCCGCUACGGGACGGAAAGACCCCGUGCACCUUUACUAUAACUUAGCAUUGAAUUUUGGUGCUGCAUGCGCAGGAUAGGUGGGAGCCUGUGAAACUUCGCUUCAGGGCGGAGUGGAGGCAAUGGUGAAAUACCACCCUUGUAGUUCUGGAAUUCUAACUUAGGUCCGUUAUCCGGAUCAAGGACAAUGUUAGGCGGGUAGUUUGACUGGGGCGGUCACCUCCUAAAGAGUAACGGAGGUGUGCAAAGGUUCCCUCAGCUUGAUUGGAAACCAAGCGUAGAGUGCAAAGGCAUAAGGGAGCUUGACUGUGAGACUGACAGGUCGAGCAGAUGCGAAAGCAGGUCUUAGUGACCCGGUGGUUCUGUGUGGAAAGGCCAUCGAUCAACGGAUAAAAGGUACGCCGGGGAUAACAGACUUAUCUCCCCCAAGAGUUCACAUCGACGGGGAGGUUUGGUACCUCGAUGUCGGCUCAUCGCAUCCUGGGGCUGGAGAAGGUCCCAAGGGUUGGGCUGUUCGCCCAUUAAAGCGGUACGCGAGCUGGGUUUAGAACGUCGUGAGACAGUUCGGUCCCUAUCUGUAGCGGGCGAAGGAGAUUUGAGAGGAUCUGCUCAUAGUACGAGAGGACCUGAGUGGACGAGCCUCUAGUGUACCAGUUGUCGCGCCAGCGGCAGUGCUGGGUAGCUAUGCUCGGAAAGGAUAACCGCUGAAAGCAUCUAAGCGGGAAACCUGCCUCAAGAUUAGAUCUCCCGAACGUAAGUUCCUUAAGGUCCCUUGAAGAUCACAAGGUUGAUAGGCUCAGGGUGUAAGUCCUGUGAAGGAUUAAGCUGAUGAGUACUAACCGACCGUGAGGCUUACUGCG